rnacentral:rRNA from 1 species
GAUGAACGCUGGCGGCGUGCCUAAUACAUGCAAGUCGAGCGAACAGACGAGGAGCUUGCUCCUCUGACGUUAGCGGCGAACGGGUGAGUAACACGUGGAUAACCUACCUAUAAGACUGGGAUAACUUCGGGAAACCGGAGCUAAUACCGGAUAAUAUAUUGAACCGCAUGGUUCAAUAGUGAAAGACGGUUUUGCUGUCACUUAUAGAUGGAUCCGCGCCGCAUUAGCUAGUUGGUAAGGUAGCGGCUUACCAAGGCAACGAUGCGUAGCCGACCUGAGAGGGUGAUCGGCCACACUGGAACUGAGACACGGUCCAGACUCCUACGGGAGGCAGCAGUAGGGAAUCUUCCGCAAUGGGCGAAAGCCUGACGGAGCAACGCCGCGUGAGUGAUGAAGGUCUUCGGAUCGUAAAACUCUGUUAUUAGGGAAGAACAAAUGUGUAAGUAACUAUGCACGUCUUGACGGUACCUAAUCAGAAAGCCACGGCUAACUACGUG